rnacentral:rRNA from 1 species
UGGGGAAUUUUGGACAAUGGGCGAAAGCCUGAUCCAGCAAUGCCGCGUGUGUGAAGAAGGCCUUCGGGUUGUAAAGCACUUUUGUCCGGAAAGAAAUCCUUGGCUCUAAUACAGCCGGGGGGAUACGGUACCGGAAGAAUAAGCACCGGCUAACUACGUGCCAGCAGCCGCGGUAAUACGUAGGGUGCAAGCGUUAAUCGGAAUUACUGGGCGUAAAGCGUGCGCAGGCGGUUUGCUAAGACCGAUGUGAAAUCCCCGGGCUCAACCUGGGAACUGCAUUGGUGACUGGCAGGCUAGAGUAUGGCAGAGGGGGGUAGAAUUCCACGUGUAGCAGUGAAAUGCGUAGAGAUGUGGAGGAAUACCGAUGGCGAAGGCGAG